rnacentral:SRP_RNA from 1 species
GCGACGGAGACUUCUGAACCGUGUCAGGUCCUGGCGGAAGCAGCACUAAGGAAGCCCCUCCGGGUGCCGCAAGGGCGCCUGACCCGAGCUACCUGCAGGAGUAACGCCCGGAAGCUAUUAUUCAACGACAGGUGCACGG